rnacentral:snoRNA from 1 species
UGGAAAUGAUGAUGAAGUUAAGGCUUGUUUUUCAAAACGUUUGCAGUUGCCGCAUAAGAGCUGAUGCUGCUACUUCCUUGGAUGUCUGAGCAG